UACGUAGGGGGCGAGCGUUGUCCGGAAUCAUUGGGCGUAAAGCGCGUGUAGGCGGCUUGGUAAGUCCGGUGUGAAAACUUGGGGCUCAACCCCAAGCCUGCACUGGAUACUGCCUCGCUUGAGUCCGGGAGGGAGAGCGGAAUCCUAGUGUAGCGGUGAAAUGCGCAGAUAUUAGGAAGAACACCGGUGGCGAAGGCGGCUA
rnacentral:rRNA from 1 species